rnacentral:rRNA from 1 species
CCCUUAGAUGUCCUGGGCUGCACGCGCGCUACACUGAUGUGUCCAGUAAGCACCUAACCUCUUCCGAAAGGAACGGGUAACCUUUGCAAAGCACAUCGUGAUGGGGAUAGAUUAUUGCAAUUAUUAGUCUUGAACGAGGAAUUCCUAGUAAGCACAAGUCAUCAGCUUGUGUUGAUUACGUCCCUGCCCUUUGUACACACCGCCCGUCGCUCCUACCGAUUGGGUGUGCUGGUGAAAUGUUCGGAUCGGCCGUUUGUCGCGGUUUCCGCGUCAUGUGGCUGAGAAGUUCAUUAAACCCUCCCACCUAGAGGAAGGAGAAGUCGUAACA